AGAGUUUGAUCCUGGCUCAGAUUGAACGCUGGCGGCAUGCCUUACACAUGCAAGUCGAACGGCAGCACGGGAGCAAUCCUGGUGGCGAGUGGCGAACGGGUGAGUAAUAUAUCGGAACGUGCCCAGUCGUGGGGGAUAACGUAGCGAAAGCUACGCUAAUACCGCAUACGAUCUAUGGAUGAAAGCGGGGGAUCGAAAGACCUCGCGCGAUUGGAGCGGCCGAUAUCAGAUUAGGUAGUUGGUGAGGUAAAGGCUCACCAAGCCGACGAUCUGUAGCUGGUCUGAGAGGACGACCAGCCACACUGGGACUGAGACACGGCCCAGACUCCUACGGGAGGCAGCAGUGGGGAAUUUUGGACAAUGGGCGCAAGCCUGAUCCAGCAAUGCCGCGUGCAGGAUGAAGGCCUUCGGGUUGUAAACUGCUUUUGUACGGAACGAAACGGUGAGCUCUAAUACAGUUUGCUAAUGACGGUACCGUAA
rnacentral:rRNA from 1 species